rnacentral:rRNA from 1 species
UACGUAGGGUCCGAGCGUUGUCCGGAAUUAUUGGGCGUAAAGGGCUCGUAGGCGGUUUGUCGCGUCGGGAGUGAAAACACGGGGCUUAACUCCGUGCCUGCUUCCGAUACGGGCAGACUAGAGGUAUGCAGGGGAGAACGGAAUUCCUGGUGUAGCGGUGAAAUGCGCAGAUAUCAGGAGGAACACCGGUGGCGAAGGCGGUUCUCUGGGCAUUACCUGACGCUGAGGAGCGAAAGUGUGGGGAGCGAACAGG